UCCCCUGUGGCACAACUGGUUAGCGCGUCAGACUGUUAAGAGAUAAGCAAUCUGGAGGUUGAUAGUUCGAUCCUAUCCGGGGGAG